rnacentral:rRNA from 1 species
GGACUGAGACACGGCCCAGACUCCUACGGGAGGCAGCAGUGGGGAAUAUUGCACAAUGGGGGAAACCCUGAUGCAGCAACGCCGCGUGAGUGAUGACGGUCUUCGGAUUGUAAAGCUCUGUCUUUGGGACGAUAAUGACGUACCCAAGAA